rfam:Gossypium raimondii Chr06_contig_341, whole genome shotgun sequence.
AAGCCAUGAUAUGGACAAUUACGUAGGAUGAGCUUAAAGCGUUCCAAUGCCUCAUAUAGUGACUCCCCUUCCAACUUUUGAAAAUUUGUAAUAUCCAUACGAAGAUU